rnacentral:rRNA from 1 species
UGGGGAAUAUUGCACAAUGGGCGCAAGCCUGAUGCAGCCAUGCCGCGUGUAUGAAGAAGGCCUUCGGGUUGUAAAGUACUUUCAGCGGGGAGGAAGGGAGUAAAGUUAAUACCUUUGCUCAUUGACGUUACCCUCAUAAGAAGCACCGGCUAACUCCGUGCCAGCAGCCGCGGUAAUACGGAGGGUGCAAGCGUUAAUCGGAAUUACUGGGCGUAAAGCGCACGCAGGCGGUUUGUUAAGUCAGAUGUGAAAUCCCCGGGCUCAACCUGGGAACUGCAUCUGAUACUGGCAAGCUUGAGUCUCGUAGAGGGGGGUAGAAUUCCAGGUGUAGCGGUGAAAUGCGUAGAGAUCUGGAGGAAUACCGGUGGCGAAGGCGGCCCCCUGGACGAAGACUGACGCUCAGGUGCGAAAGCGUGGGGAGCAAACAGG